GAGAUUGGCUGGUAUACCGUGGA
rnacentral:siRNA from 1 species